AGCUUUGCACAGUGGCAGUAUCAUAGCUAAUGAGGUUUAUCCGAGGCGCGAUUAUUGCUAAUUGAAAACUUUUCCCAAUACCCCGCCAAUAAUGACUUGGAAUAUAGUCGGCAUUGGCAAUUUUUGGUAGUCUCUACGGAAA
rnacentral:snRNA from 1 species